rnacentral:rRNA from 1 species
UACGGGGGGGGCAAGCGUUGUUCGGAAUUACUGGGCGUAAAGGGCUCGUAGGCGGCCAACUAAGUCAGACGUGAAAUCCCUCGGCUUAACCGGGGAACUGCGUCUGAUACUGGAUGGCUAGAGGUUGGGAGAGGGAUGCGGAAUUCCAGGUGUAGCGGUGAAAUGCGUAGAUAUCUGGAGGAACACCGACGGCGUAGGCAGCGCCCUGGACGACACCUGACGCUGAGGCACGAAAGCUGGGGGAGCGAACAGG